CAACUUGAGAGUUUGAUCCUGGCUCAGAACGAACGCUGGCGGCAUGCCUAACACAUGCAAGUCGAACGAGAUCUUCGGAUCUAGUGGCGCACGGGUGCGUAACGCGUGGGAAUCUGCCCUUGGGUUCGGAAUAACAGUGAGAAAUUACUGCUAAUACCGGAUGAUGUCUUCGGACCAAAGAUUUAUCGCCCAGGGAUGAGCCCGCGUAGGAUUAGGUAGUUGGUGGGGUAAUGGCCUACCAAGCCGACGAUCCUUAGCUGGUCUGAGAGGAUGAUCAGCCACA
rnacentral:ncRNA from 1 species